AGAGUUUGAUCCUGGCUCAGGACGAACGCUGGCGGCGUGCUUAACACAUGCAAGUCGAGCGAGGCCCUCUUUCGGGGGGUGCCCUAGCGGCAGACGGGUGAGUAACGCGUGGGAACGUGCCCUUCAGUUCGGGAUAACCCAGGGAAACUUGGGCUAAUACCGGAUACGUGCGAGAGCAGAAAGAUUUAUCGCUGAAGGAUCGGCCCGCGUCUGAUUAGCUAGUUGGUGGGGUAAUGGCCCACCAAGGCGACGAUCAGUAGCUGGUCUGAGAGGAUGAUCAGCCACAUUGGGACUGAGACACGGCCCAAACUCCUACGGGAGGCAGCAGUGGGGAAUAUUGGACAAUGGGCGCAAGCCUGAUCCAGCCAUGCCGCGUGAGUGAUGAAGGCCUUAGGGUUGUAAAGCUCUUUCGUCCGGGACGAUAAUGACGGUACCGGAAGAAGAAGCCCCGGCUAACUUCGUGCCAGCAGCCGCGGUAAUACGAAGGGGGCUAGCGUUGUUCGGAAUCACUGGGCGUAAAGGGCGCGUAGGCGGCUUUGUAAGUCGGGGGUGAAAGCCUGUGGCUCAACCACAGAAUUGCCUUCGAUACUGCAUGGCUUGAGACCGGAAGAGGUAAGUGGAACUGCGAGUGUAGAGGUGAAAUUCGUAGAUAUUCGCAAGAACACCAGUGGCGAAGGCGGCUUACUGGUCCGGUUCUGACGCUGAGGCGCGAAAGCGUGGGGAGCAAACAGGAUUAGAUACCCUAGUAGUCC
rnacentral:rRNA from 1 species